AAAGUCGUAACAAGGUUUCCGUAGGUGAACCUGCGGAAGGAUCAUUACCAUUACCUCAACCGGUAGGCGUCUGGUUUACCAGUCGUCCACCUGUUUGAAGUUACCCAUGCCUUUUGCGUACAGUUUGUUUUCCCAGCAGGGCGUUUCGCCCCAACGGGACUCCAAUCCACCCAUGUAUUUGCAGUCAACGUCUGAAAACAAUAAUAAUUACAACUUUUAACAACGGAUCUCUUGGUUCUG
rnacentral:misc_RNA from 1 species